CAAAAAAAACUUGCUGUAUCGGUCCAUGCAUUAAGAAUAUUGUAUCAUCAUGUUUACUAAAAACUUGGAAAUUCUUCCAUCUCCACCCCCAACAAAUCGAUUUCCUCAAGUAGCACUGAUCCUGCCAGUUCCAGUCUAACAUUUCACAAAGGAGACAUUAACUGCAAACUUACAUUAGGCCAAAACAACACAAAUAUGUCCAGAAUACAAGAGAACAAUAAUGCUCACAAAAAGAGCAACAAAAUGCCACAAAUGAGCUCUGACCUUGGUAACUCUUGGGUCUUUGACAUACCACCUCAAACCUUACAGCUCAUUAAAAGAGUUUAUUAAAUGGAUAAACCACAUACUCCAUUGAGUACCAAUUCUCAUACUUAGAUAAUGUACACUAUUGGAUUCAAAAUCCAUAUUCCAUACCAAAAACCUUAUAUGUUGCAAGAGGUGAGUUUCAUUUUGAUAUUUAGAACACCUCAACAAAUUCCAACAAAACACCAAAUAGGAUUAGUAUUACAUUUGCUUCC